AACGAACGCUGGCGGCAGGCCUAACACAUGCAAGUCGAACGCCGUAGCAAUACGGAGUGGCAGACGGGUGAGUAACGCGUGGGAACAUACCCCUCGGUUCGGAAUAAACUCAGGGGAAAACUUGAGCUAAUACCGGAUACGUCCGAGGUUUUGAUCGACCUUGGAGAAAGAUUUAUCGCCGAAGGAUUGGCCCGCGUCUGAUUAGCUUGUUGGUGAGGUAAUGGCUCACCAAGGCGACGAUCAGUAGCUGGUCUGAGAGGAUGAUCAGCCACAUUGGGACUGAGACCACGGGCCCAAACUCCUACGGGAGGCAGCAGGUGGGGAAUAUUGGACAAUGGGCGAAAGCCUGAUCCAGCCAU
rnacentral:rRNA from 1 species